rnacentral:lncRNA from 1 species
CUCAUCUUGCCAGUGCCUCUUUUCUCAGGCAAACCAAGGAGCCUAUCCUGAUUUAAAUGGCUAUGGGAGAGGAGUUGGUUACUGAGGGGGGAGGUGACUAUCUGGAGAGCAUGUAGAACUGGAAUUUAUGAUUCAGCACUGACAGGGAGAAAGAGUCAGAAUAAAAUUAGAUCUGAAUGAAGCUUGCAUCUGGGAAAAGGAAAAAGCAUGCUAAGCUGAGGAAAAAGCAUGGAGGACAGAGAAAAAUGUAACUAAGAGAGAUGAACAGCCUGUGAAGAACCUCCUAGGACAGCGUGCAGAGGAGCCCUAUGUCCAUUCUUGUGUGGACUUUGCCUGUUCUACACCCUUUGAAGUUUAUCUAUGACUUGCUGAGGGAGGAGAAAGAGAGAGAGAUGGGAGGCAGCUGAAACAUCUGUUCCCUCCCUUUUCCCAAAAGUCAUCUGAUUUCUCGAAAAUCUCUAAUACGGACCAGAUCUGUGCACUCCCCCACACAGCUGGAGCCAACAAGGUUGUGCAACUUCUUCUGGAAAUUCCCUCUUCUGCUGAAAGCCGGCUUGGAUAGUUUUGGAGUGAAAAGGAAGGAAAAAGAAAAAGAGAAGAGAGAAAGAAGAACACAUGGACUAGGAGAGAAGGCAAAGUCCAAUCCCUGAAUGUUUUCAGGAAAGAAGAUCAGCUUUUUCCAGAUGUGGUAAGUUUCUGAAUCUCCAUGGGGCAGGUUUAUUAAUAAUUUCAUUUUAUAAAUGGUGUUUUUCUUUUAAUUUAAUGAUUCUUGAAUCUGAAUGUGUCUAUUCCCCAAGCAGUCUUCAAAACAGGAUAGUGAAGCAAGAAAUAUGAUUUAAGACCCUUCUAUGCAAUUUCUGCCAUUCCUCUACAGCUGGAGAGAAGCAAAGAUCAGGAUGGAAGUUGUGCUCUUUCAGUUUGAAAUUCUGCAGGAGAAGACAAGCCCCACAUCAGGUUGUUAGACCGCCAAAGACAGGAACAAUAUUGUUUGCUACACACAGCCAAAGACUAGCCUUUUCACUAGGGACUAUGUGAUAUGCAGAUGUAGAAGA